rnacentral:rRNA from 1 species
CGACGGGUAGCCGGCCUGAGAGGGCGACCGGCCACACUGGGACUGAGACACGGCCCAUACUCCUACGGGAGGCAGCAGUGGGGAAUAUUGCACAAUGGGCGAAAGCCUGAUGCAGCGACGCCGCGUGAGGGAUGACGGCCUUCGGGUUGUAAACCUCUUUCAGCAGGGAAGAAGCGAAAGUGACGGUACCUGCAGAAGAAGCGCCGGCUAACUACGUGCCAGCAGCCGCGGUAAUACGUAGGGCGCAAGCGUUGUCCGGAAUUAUUGGGCGUAAAGAGCUCGUAGGCGGCUUGUCACGUCGGAUGUGAAAGCCCGGGGCUUAACCCCGGGUCUGCAUUCGAUACGGGCUAGCUAGAGUGUGGUAGGGGAGAUCGGAAUUCCUGGUGUAGCGGUGAAAUGCGCAGAUAUCAGGAGGAACACCGGUGGCGAAGGCGGAUCUCUGGGCCAUUACUGACGCUGAGGAGCGAAAGCGUGGGGAGCGAACAGGAUUAGAUACCCUGGUAGUCCACGCCGUAAACGUUGGGAACUAGGUGUUGGCGACAUUCCACGUCGUCGGUGCCGCAGCUAACGCAUUAAGUUCCCCGCCUGGGGGAGUAC